AAUAAGAAUGAAAUACAGUAUGCAAAAAUGUAUAAAGUAAUUCGUUAUCUUGGAUGCUACAUAUUUUAUUUGUGUCCCUUUCUAUAUUUUUUUUCUUCCUUUUUUUGUAUUUUGGUUACUAGAGAAGUCACUUUUUUUCAAAACUG
rnacentral:ribozyme from 14 species